UGUCCCCAAGAACCAUGCAGGCCCAUUCCCCCCAGAUCACCCCUCUCCUACCCUCCCAGGGGCAGAGCAGGUAAGCGAGGGUUUUCCACAAAGGAAAGGUGUGAGGUUUGCUACAGCUGCCUCUACCCACAAACGCCCCACGGACCGUUAUUAACAAGGAGUCUGCUUCAGGCAGAGACCACACCUGGGAAACCGCCUAAAGGGCCAGAGAUUGGACAGGAUCCUGAGCAAGUGAAUAUAGAGGCAGGCCCAUGGACAUCAAAACUGGGCCUUCAGGCCCCAACAAUCCCUGUUUCUCCCUCUGGCUCCCUGCAAUGAAUCCAGCUGCCUGCAGGAGGCUUGUCCUGGGCACCUUCAGGGCACAAUGCUCUCAGUGAGUAUUGGCAGUGGCAGCCUUUCCAAAACAAGCUGUCACUCCCUGUCAACUGUGUGCACGUGAUGGGGGAGGAGCAGUGAUAAAAGUGGGACCCGGGCGGGGGGGCUGGAUCAUCCACCACGGCGCACAGGAUCAGGCUGGAAUGCAGGCUGGAUGUUUUGUUGGCGUAGCCUUCCAGAGUUGAAGACAACUGUACGAGCCACGUCUGAGAGCACGCAGAGAGAGUGGGACUGCAGAUUUAGCUGUGUGGGGUGGGGGCCGCUGAAAGGGGGUGUCGGACAAGUGUAGAACCGAACCCUGUUCAGGAGGCUUUUAGGUGGAGUUUGUAGGAUGCCAGUCGCCAUCUGCUGGUACAUUGCAAUAAUUACAUUGUCACCAUUCAUCGGGGUUUGGGGAGAGCCGAGGAGAUGUUCCCCGGGAUGAUGGAGGUGAGGUAUUGUAGAUGGCCAAGUUGAGGUAUUGUUCCAGUAAGAAUGUUUGCUUUGUAAUGGUGCUGGGGCACUGUUAUGUUGUACAUUUAAGUGUUGGGGGCCCUAGAGUCCUCGCAU